rfam:Vittaforma corneae ATCC 50505 unplaced genomic scaffold supercont1.1, whole genome shotgun sequence.
GGUUCGGUGGCGCAAUCGGUUAGCGCGUUCGGCUGUUAACCGAAAGGUUCUGAGUUCAAGUCUCAGCCGAACCG